AAUACGGAAUUUAUCGAGAAUCGAAUGAUUAAGCGAUCGAUGGACUAAAUUGGUCGAAAUAAAAGUUAUAAAGUGAAAGUUGAGGAGGUGGCAAAGUGAGGGACUAAAUGAGACCUUUGUCAUAAAUAUAUAUACCCAUUUCAUUUGAUUUAAGAUCAGAAUCAACACAUUUUUGAGUCUCAAAUUCGUUCUCCUUUUUCCUUUGAUGAUCAACAUAUGCAAAGAUUUCAAUCCUCCAUAACUUCCUCGUUUCUCUAGGGAAUUGGACGAUUCUUGCGGCCACGGAACGAGGAGAAGGAGAGCUACUGAUCUAGCCCUAUUAUUCAAGGUAAAAAAUCACAACUUGAGUUUAGGGUUUCUAAGUUUUAUUUCGGUUUUAGAGUUAAUUAAGGGUUUUGGUGUAAUUGAUGUUCAUAUGAGUUUAUAAGCUUUCAUGGAAGAUUGUUGAUGGUGAAUUUAAGCCUUGAAGCUUCGGCAUAGGGACAACAUCCAAGACUCGACGAAUCGACUAUCGACAAGGCUCGAGGGGAACGGAUCGAGAUGUCUUCGUGUUUAUUUGAAGAAUUUGGAUAGCAAGUGGGAUAGCAUGAUAUGAUUUGGAAAGUCAAGCUUCCGAAGUUUUAAUUCUCGGAAGUCAUUUGCACAAGAAGUGAAAGAAGGUUUUCAUUCUAGCGGUCCGCAGUAGUCUAGAUGUUUUUGUCUAUGUAUUUGUACAAUGCGUUUUAACUCUGAUGUUUUUGUAAAAUGGGGUCACAUGUAUUUUGAUAUAUAAAAUAUGAUUUGAUUUGCGAAAAAUUUACACAGGUUUUUAGGCUUGCUACGGGUUUCGGAGCUACCACUCCCA